UCUUUAAUGAGGCAUUGGCGCGUGUUUGAAGAGCCAGGGAGAGGAGAGUGGGAGCAGAGAGGAGGGGAUGAAUAAUACAGGUCACAAGGUUUAUGCACACAUUUCUCACUGUACUCUUCUCUUAUCCCUGCAGUCCUGUCUAUAUAGAUCUAGGGAAAAAAUGUCUAAAAUCAUGCACCGGUGUCUGUCAGCGCAUAGGCUAAAAUGGUUUGCUGUGUCUUCUAAAUGUACCCUGCACUUGAAGAGGGGGAAACAGUUUGUCCUUAGGCAGAUUGUGAGCCUGAGUUGUAGGACGGUUAAGUGACUUUUCCAAUGUCGCAGAGCUCUUUACUGGCUGAACCAAAGCUUCAGAUCCAUCUCCGGGACUUCCAAAUGCAUAGGGUGAAUAUGCAUGUCCUCUUUGCCUGGUUGUUUCUGGGUUAGGCCUAUUGUCCCGCCAUAAUUGCGAACGGAUUGUCCCUUUCAUUCACAAAAGUGUAAGAGUUGGGUUGUUACACGGCUUGAGCAAAGUACUCAUUUCUUUCUUUUCUUUUCAGUCCCCAGCAGGAUGCCAGGUACCCAUAAAUGAUGGUGGUUGUUUUGAAAGGAGAGAUCGCAAGAGGGCAGGUGUCAGGAAGUAGGAACUGCAUAGAAAGAAGGGAGCAUUUAUGUGUUCUUGUGAGUUGUUCCAAGGGCAGGGAGGAGUAGGGGAGAAGGAGGAGGACUCAUAGUGUAGAAGGUUGGAUCUCAACAAACUGAGAUGGACUCGCUUCCCAGGGAAGACAUACACGAAACCAGACCGCACACAAACCAGAAUGUCAACUCAGAUAUUUUCUACAAGGAGAAACAGCUCUCCUCGGUCCAGGCAUGCUCGUGUGGGCGGUACGAGCAAGAGAGAGGAGAGGUAAUCUGGCGCCCUGGAGCUGGGCAAGGCUGGCUCCAAAACCCCACUCUUUUACCAUAUCUGCAGGUUGACCUUGGGCAAGCCCUCUUGUUCUCCGAGGCCUGGGUUCCUCGGCCGGAAGUUGGGCUGUGUGAGGCUGACACGCAACAAGGAGCGUACGCAAGGUGCCCAGCACAGGGUGCAGAUCAGGACAUGGGAGCUAUUAUUAGGCUCUCCCUGCAGGCGGAAGCGGAAUUGCUUUCGGGUCGCCGGCUCGGCGGGAACUGGCGCGGGGGAGGUAAGCGGGGGAUUCAGCUGUCCGCUGCAUCCUCUCCGCGCGGGGCUACACCUGCCACGUUAGCUGGCAGCUCCCGCUGGGAAGGUUCUGGGUCGGGCGCUGUCAAAGCAGCAUUCGACUGGAGUUUAUUUUCCCAAGCUUCUAAGUUGACCCACGCCCCUCUUCUGAUUGACACAUUCUUUCUUUAGAUAUGCUAAUUAAUUCAAUUAGAUUACAGUCUAGUCUUGUCUUGGCAAGCUUUGUCUCUUAAGGGGACUUUGCCUGUCUUAGGCCUUUUAUAUUAGAUGUUUUAACAGUUCACCUCUAAGGAGGUAAACAUUUAACCUUAUUUCUGACUUCCUUCGGGAGUAUCAGUCUGGACACCUCCAUCCCUGGACCAGGGCCCGUUCAUCCAUCCAUCCAUGUAUCCAUUCAACAAAGAUAUAUUUGAGUGCCCACUGGGAUCUUGGGCAAUUUUUUUUUUUUCACAGAAGAAACUGCAUCUCACUUUCCUAAUCUAUAAACUGGGCUGUCCAGUGAAUUGUUAUGAAGAAUAGAUGAAGUCAUCCUUGCAGAAUGAUUAAAGGAGAAAAUCAUGAGUACCAUAGUGUAUGGCGUAUAGUAGGCACUCAAUCAAUUUGUUGAAUGAGUGAAUGAAUAAACAUUGCCUAUGGUUAUUGUUACUCUUGUCAUGUGCCAGGCAUUUCGCUGCACUUUGGGGAUAUAAUCGUGAACCAGACACAAGGUCCUGCUCCCUUGGAGUCUAUGGUCCACGAGGGAUAGAGACCAGCAACCCCAGUGCUGUAGAAUAAAUGCAACAAUUGGGGAAAUACAGGGUAUUAUUAGAGCUCCUAGCUGGAGGACCAAAGUCCUCCUAGGCUCCCCAGAGGAAGUGGGCUCCAAGCUGUGACACGAAUGGUCAGAGCUAGCCAGGCAGAGGUGGAGAACCUGAGUGCCCCAGUGCAAAGCUCUCAAGGCAAGAAAGACUUCUUCCAACAAUGAGACCCUGACAAACUAUGGGAGUGGACCUCACCAGGGGACUUGGGCCUGACAAGAGGCUGGGGAGAACUUUCCUGCCCAAGAAAAUGGUUUGAUUGUUUCUUGGAGGAAUUUCUCCAAAGACCUAUCAGCUCUUCAAUGGAAAGGACACGAUAGUUUGUGCUCUAAGAUUCUUUUAAUCCCUUAUCCGGACGUCCUCGUCUUGCUGUUUCUACCAGUCCUGGAUUCUUCUACCUCCUAGCCAAGUUCCCACACUGAUAGACCUACCUUAACGAAGCUUCCAAUUCUCGAUAAAUUCUCAGCUUACCCACCUCUCUCCGAGACACUGCCCAACCUUUCUGAGGCAGUGUUCUCCUUUAUGUACCACGGAAUGUGAUGUGAUGACCUCUGGGCAGAGAGUCUAUGCUGAUAGCCAUCAUCAACUGAAAGACAACUGAAAGAUCAGGGUGUAGGGCGUUGCUCCAGUCUCUGAUGCAUAUCAAGUAAAACAAAGGACUGCCAGGAACUAAGACCAGAUGGAUGCCCCCACCCUGGGACUAGAUGCCUCCACCCAGUAAUCAGAUGGAUGCCCCCAACCUGGAACCAGAUGCCUCCCCCACUUGGAGACCAGCCCUCUAUAUAACUGGCCUGUAGUCUUUGUUCUGUAAGAUGGUUCUUUCAGAUGUCAGUCGGCCAUCUUCCCCCUUGCUAGCAAGCUGUAAUAAACUGCCCUUUCUUUUCCACAAUCUUACCUCUUGACAAUUGGCUUUUGCCUUGGGGGGAGCAGAUCAUGCCCUUUGUACGGUAACAGGUCAGAGAAGAGGCACUGCCCGAAAGGGAGGACCCAGGAGCUCUCUGUAAGUGAUGCAAUCUAGAUUGCAUUUACAUUUGGUGAGAGGCUCAGGUAGAAACUCAAAAAAAGUGUGGUGAUGAUUAUUUAUCUGAUACUUGGAAUGGGUUUAUUCAGCACCACAUUUUAUUUUCCCAAAUCUAGACUGUCAGUGCAGUGAAACUAAGGAAUACAGGUUUUCACUGUGUCCAGCAAAAGUUGAGCUUUUUUCCACUCAAGGAAAUUUUUCGAACCCCAUGGCUUUUAUACUCUUGAUGGAUCACCUAUAUCUUCAUUUAUAAAUUAAAUACAGGGAGUACUAUCCUAAUAUGUCAUGUACAUUACAAAUUAUACACAAAAAUAGAAGUCAGAGAAGGCUGAAAUUAUGAUGGACUAAACAAUGUCAUUACAAUUUAAUUUUCUCUAUUAGCAAUAUAAAGUGUUUUGCUCUCAUUAAAAUUCUUAAUAUUGGGGCCAGCCCAGUGGUGCAGUGGUUGGGUUCGCACAUCCCGCUUCACCAGCCUGGGGUUUGCCAGUUUGGGUCCUGGGCAGGGAGCUGCUCACCGCUCAUCAGACCAUGCUGAGGCGGUGUCCCACAUACAAGAACUAGAAGGACCUACAACUAGGAUAUACAACUAUGUACUGGGGGCUUUGGGGAGAAAAAAGAGGAAGAUCGGCAACAGAUAUUAACUCAGGGCCAAUUGUCCUCCAAAAAAAAUUCUAUUUUAUUUAUUUAUUUAUUUCCCCAAAGCCCCAGUAGAUAGUUGUACAUCAUAGUUGCACAUCCUUCUAGUUGCUGCAUGUGGGACGCGGCCUCAGCAUGGCCAGAGAAGCGGUGUGUUUGUGCGCGCCCGGGAUGGAACCUGGGCCGCCAGUAGCAGAGCGCGUGCGCUCAACCGUCAAGCCACGGGGCCGGCCCAAAAAAAAAAAAAAAUUCUUAAUAUUGAACAUGGUUCUCUUUUGGAACUCUUGGUAUAAUGCAUUGUGAUAAAGCAAUUUGAAGGUCUUGUUCUAAGUUCAGUUUAUUUCAACCUUGGUUGUUUUAAACACUGUCAUAGUGGGAAAAGAUGCUUCACCAAGUUAUGUGCCAUUGGAAGAGGUGGAUAAUUUUUACUACUUAAUGAUAAUGCUUGUUUUUAAAUCCCACCUACCAGCUAUGCAAAAGGUUUAGUUGAAAUUUAGGUGAUGAAUUGCUAUUUCCCAAUGUUGGUCAAUUGUUCCUGCAGUGUAAACUGAAAGAUGUUGCAUUUAUAAAACCAGCAAACAGUUAGCCAUUGAUGAUUAAGCAGGUAGUAACUAUGGGGGAGCGGAAUUGGCCACCUCAACAUAUGUCUUUGCCUGAAAGACACUUUGGCCCCCACCCCCACUAACUGAUCAAAGGAGUUUGGGAUGGGAGGCCUGCCCCCAGAACAGGCUGUCACCAUAGACAACUCUGGGUACCUGGAGAGUCCUUGCUAAGCCCAUUCUUAGUUCUGGAUACUCAUUGUAAGAGACAUUUACAUUUGUAAAGGAAAUCUCCAUUUGUAAAGGUAUCUUCUUCCCUGUAUCAGGAAGAAGUGGGGGAUGGCCUUACCUGGAAACUUAUCAGAACAGAAGGUGAGGGCUUAAAUCUGCAUGAUAAAGUUACCCAUUGUUUUUUUUUAUUUUUAUUUAUUUAUCUUUUUCUGCCAAAGCCCCAGUAGACAGUUGUAUGUCAUAGUUGCACAGCCUUCUAGUUGCUGUAUGUGGGACGAGGCCUCAGCAUGGCCGGAGAAGCAGUGCG